rnacentral:tRNA from 1 species
GCCUAGCUGGCUCUGUCGGUGGAGCGGGUGAUUCUUGAUCUCAGGGUCGUGAGUUCAAGCCCCAUGUUAGACA